rnacentral:rRNA from 1 species
GACGAACGCUGGCGGCGUGCCUAACACAUGCAAGUCGAGCGGAGUCGACCGACGGAAGCCUUCGGGCGGAAGAUGGUUGACUUAGCGGCGGAUGGGUGAGUAACGCGUGGGCAACCUGCCUCGAAGACCGGGAUAACAGCCCGAAAGGGCUGCUAAUACCGGAUGUGGUCAAGGAUCCGCAUGGAUUUUUGAUUAAAGGGGAAACCCGCUUUCAGAUGGGCCCGCGUCCCAUCAGCUAGUUGGUAAGGUAAAGGCUUACCAAGGCGACGACGGGUAGCCGGUCUGAGAGGAUGUACGGCCACACUGGGACUGAGAUACGGCCCAGACUCCUACGGGAGGCAGCAGUUGGGAAUCUUAGGCAAUGGACGAAAGUCUGACCUAGCGACGCCGCGUGAGGGAAGAAGGCCUUCGGGUUGUAAACCUCUGUCAUGGGGGAAGAAGUAAGUGACGGUACCCCAAGAGGAAGCCCCUGCUAACUACGUG